rnacentral:rRNA from 1 species
GAUGAACGCUGGCGGCGUGCUUAACACAUGCAAGUCGAACGAUGAAGCCCAGCUUGCUGGGUGGAGUAGUGGCGAACGGGUGAGUAACACGUGAGUAACCUGCCCUCAACUCUGGGAUAAGCCAGGGCAACUGGGUCUAAUACCGGAUAGGAGCGUCCACCGCAUGGUGGGUGCUGGAAAGAUUUAUCGGUUUUGGAUGGACUCGCGGCCUAUCAGCUUGUUGGUGAGGUAAUGGCUCACCAAGGCGACGACGGGUAGCCGGCCUGAGAGGGUGACCGGCCACCCUGGGCCUGAGACACGGACCAGUCUCCUACGGGAGGCAGCAGUGGGGAAUAUUGCACAAUGGGCGCAAGCCUGAUGCAGCGGCGCCGCGUGAGGGAUGCCGGCCUUCGGGUUGUAAACAUCUUUCAGUAGGGAAGAAGCGAAAGUGACGGUACCUGCAGAAGAAGCACCGGCUAACUACGUG